ACGCUCGACACCUACGGGAGGCAGCAGGUGGGGAAUAUUGCACAAGUGGGGGAAACCCUGAUGCAGCGACGCCGCGUGAAGGAAGAAGUAUUUCGGUAUGUAAACUUCUAUCAGCAGGGAAGAAAAUGACGGUACCUGAGUAAGAAGCACCGGCUAAAUACGUGCCAACAGCCGCGGUAAUCUGAGCGGGCUGGCAAGGC
rnacentral:rRNA from 1 species